rnacentral:rRNA from 1 species
GACGAACGCUGGCGGCGUGCUUAACACAUGCAAGUCGAACGGAAAGGCCCUGCUUUUGUGGGGUGCUCGAGUGGCGAACGGGUGAGUAACACGUGAGUAACCUGCCCUUGACUUUGGGAUAACUUCAGGAAACUGGGGCUAAUACCGGAUAGGAGCUCCUGCUGCAUGGUGGGGGUUGGAAAGUUUCGGCGGUUGGGGAUGGACUCGCGGCUUAUCAGCUUGUUGGUGGGGUAGUGGCUUACCAAGUCUUUGACGGGUAGCCGGCCUGAGAGGGGGACCGGCCACAUGGGGACUGAGAUACGGCCCAGACUCCUACGGGAGGCAGCAGGGGGGAAUAUUGCACAAUGGGCGGAAGCCUGAUGCAGCAACGCCGCGUGCGGGAUGACGGCCUUCGGGUUGUAAACCGCUUUCGCCUGUGACGAAGCGUGAGUGACGGUAAUGGGUAAAGAAGCACCGGCUAACUACGUG